UACGUAGGGUGCGAGCGUUGUCCGGAAUUACUGGGCGUAAAGAGCUCGUAGGUGGUUUGUCGCGUUGUUCGUGAAAACUCACAGCUCAACUGUGGGCGUGCGGGCGAUACGGGCAGACUGGAGUACUGCAGGGGAGACUGGAAUUCCUGGUGUAGCGGUGGAAUGCGCAGAUAUCAGGAGGAACACCGGUGGCGAAGGCGGGUCUCUGGGCAUGACCUGACGCUGAGGAGCGAAAGCAUGGGGAGCGAACAGG
rnacentral:rRNA from 1 species